AGCGAACGCUGGCGGCAGGCCUAACACAUGCAAGUCGAACGAACUCUUCGGAGUUAGUGGCGGACGGGUGAGUAACACGUGGGAACGUGCCUUUAGGUUCGGAAUAACUCAGGGAAACUUGUGCUAAUACCGAAUGUGCCCUUCGGGGGAAAGAUUUAUCGCCUUUAGAGCGGCCCGCGUCUGAUUAGCUAGUUGGUGAGGUAACGGCUCACCAAGGCGACGAUCAGUAGCUGGUCUGAGAGGAUGACCAGCCACACUGGGACUGAGACACGGCCCAGACUCCUGCGGGAGGCAGCAGUGGGGAAUCUUGCGCAAUGGGCGAAAGCUUGACGCAGCCAUGCCGCGUGAAUGAUGAAGGUCUUAGGAUUGUAAAAUUCUUUCACCGGGGACGAUAAUGACGGUACCCGGAGAAGAAGCCCCGGCUAACUUCGUGCCAGCCGCCGCCGUAA
rnacentral:rRNA from 1 species